UACGUAGGGUGCGAGCGUUGUCCGGAAUUAUUGGGCGUAAAGGGCUCGUAGGCGGUUUGUCGCGUCGGGAGUGAAAACACUGGGCUUAACUCAGUGCUUGCUUCCGAUACGGGCAGACUAGAGGUAUUCAGGGGAGAACGGAAUUCCUGGUGUAGCAGUGAAAUGCGUAGAUAUCAAGCGGAACACCAGUGGCGAAGGCGAGUCCCUGGACAACUCCUGACACUGAGGCACGAAAGCUAGGGGAGCAAACAGG
rnacentral:rRNA from 1 species